rnacentral:rRNA from 1 species
GAUGAACGCUGACAGAAUGCUUAACACAUGCAAGUCAACUUGAAUUUGGGUUUUUAACUUCGGUUUGGGUGGCGGACGGGUGAGUAACGCGUAAAGAACUUGCCUCACAGCUAGGGACAACAUUUGGAAACGAAUGCUAAUACCUAAUAUUAUGAUAAUAGGGCAUCCUAUAAUUAUGAAAGCUAUAAGCGCUGUGAGAGAGCUUUGCGUCCCAUUAGCUAGUUGGAGAGGUAACGGCUCACUAAGGCGAUGAUGGGUAGCCGGCCUGAGAGGGUGAUCGGCCACAAGGGGACUGAGACACGGCCCUUACUCCUACGGGAGGCAGCAGUGGGGAAUAUUGGACAAUGGACCAAGAGUCUGAUCCAGCAAUUCUGUGUGCACGAUGAAGUUUUUCGGAAUGUAAAGUGCUUUCAGUUGGGAAGAAAGAAAUGACGGUACCAACAGAAGAAGAGACGGCUAAAUACGUG